GCUUCGGUGUUCUAGUGGUUAGAGCGUCCACCUUGGAUGCGUGAGGUCAUGGGUUCAAUCCCAGGUCGAGUCA